rnacentral:rRNA from 1 species
AUGCAACGCGAAGAACUUACCUGGUCUUGACGUCCGGAGACCUUAGGAACUAGGGGUGCUUCCAUCUGGAAGAAUCUGGAGACAGGUGCUGCAUGGCUGUCGUCAGCUCGUGUCGUGAGAUGUUGGGUUAAGUCCCGCAACGAGCGCAACCCUUGCCUUUAGUUGCCAGCAGUUCGGCUGGGCACUCUAAAGGGACUGCCGGUGUUAAACCGGAGGAAGGUGGGGAUGACGUCAAGUCCUCAUGGCCUUUAUGACCAGGGCUACACACGUACUACAAUGGCCGAUACAAAGGGCAGCGACACUGCGAGGUGAAGCCAAUCCCGUAAAAUCGGUCUCAGUCCGGAUUGGAGUCUGCAACUCGACUCCAUGAAGUUGGAAUCGCUAGUAAUCGUGGAUCAGCAUGCCACGGUGAAUACGUUCCCGGGCCUU